AUGUUGGGGGGGGGUGACCCCGCGCCCCAGCACCGCCCCUGUGGUGGGGGCCACGCGGCUGCGUGCGGCCCGCCCGGGCCCUGGGUCGCUGCCACAGGCAGGGAGCGGGCUGCAAGCAGAGCCCGCAUCGGCUCUAUGGUGGAGGCAACGGGGUGGGACUAGCGCAGCUCAGCCCUGCCUCCUCCACAGCCGUCCACCAAGAGCUGCGCGGGCAUCUGUUGCCAUCUACGCAGAUCCGGUGGGUCCCGCGUCCCCGCCCCCGCUGCCUGAGGCGGGGCUGGGGGUGGGGUCAGCACAGCGUAGGGGCGGGAUCCAGACCCCCGCCCCCCAGCUGUGUCCCUCACCCCGCUUAUAUGAGAUAUGCAUGUUUGCAGUAGGAUGGAUAUAUGAUCCCUGGGACACAAGGAUGAGUUAAUGGAAUGUAUUUCUAUUAGUUCGUAUGGCUGGAUUGAACAGGUGGUGAUGAUUAAUAGGUAAUGUCUCCAGACUAGUUUGAACAUGAAAUGUAGUCUACAUA